UACGUAGGGGGCAAGCGUUGUCCGGAAUCAUUGGGCGUAAAGCGCGUGUAGGCGGUUCGGUAAGUCUGCUGUGAAAGUCCAGGGCUCAACCCUGGGAUGCCGGUGGAUACUGUCGGACUAGAGUACGGAAGAGGCGAGUGGAAUUCCCGGUGUAGCGGUGAAAUGCGCAGAUAUCGGGAGGAACACCAAUUGCGAAGGCAGCUCGCUGGGACGUCACUGACGCUGAGGCGCGAAAGCUAGGGGAGCAAACGGG
rnacentral:rRNA from 1 species